UUAAGUAACUUCUUGGAGAGAUACAAAGUAACUAAAAUUUGGUAUUUGUUCUCAGAGAGCAUGAGAGAAACAAGGAAGGACUGAAAAUAUCUAGGGAUCAAGGGAAAGGAGAUCUAUGGAAGAUAGAUCUAUUUAGAUAAGAUUUUGACUUGAGGUAAGUAGCUUCUGUUUUCUUUUCUCUUUGCUAGACUUGGCAGGAAUGUGCUAACUGUCACAUAACAGCAACUGAACAGAUUACAUCAUAAGCAGAUUUUAUGGAGAGAAAUGUUUUCUGCCAUAACACGUCCCAUUCAAGAGCACCCAUCUCUUAGGUGGUAUUCCUUCCCUGACCUCAAUCCUGACAGGAGUAAUCGACUUGAUCCGACCACAUCAUUUUGAUAUUUUGCAAACACCCAUCUGUUGAUGAUUAAUGAGUUAAACAAGAUGAACUCUGAGGGUCCUGAUGGCAAGAACAGUCUAUGAAUUAAGGAGCUCCACUACUACUUCUGACCAAAAAACUCCUAUUAAUAAAUUAGAAUAAGACAAAUCA
rnacentral:lncRNA from 1 species